UACGGAGGGUGCAAGCGUUAGUCGGAAUUACUGGGCGUAAAGGGUGCGUAGGCGGAGAUAUAAGUCAGAUGUGAAAAACCAAGGCUCAACCUUGGCAGUGCAUCUGAAACUGUAUUUCUAGAGGGAUAGCGGAGAAAACGGAAUUCCACGUGUAGCGGUGAAAUGCGUAGAUAUGUGGAAGAACACCUGUGGCGAAAGCGGUUUUCUAGCUUACCCCUGACGCUGAGGCACGAAAGCA
rnacentral:rRNA from 1 species